ensembl:lincRNA 4930524O08Rik RIKEN cDNA 4930524O08 gene
ACACGCAGUUAGUGGCAUCGCCAAGGGAACAUUGCCCAUCAUGUCUCUUUGGGCCUCCUGAUGCUCCACUCGAUGUGAGAAUAUGAGGAUCAAUCAAGAGAAGAGACUAACCUCGAGACAGAGCACUAAAUCGAGCAGAAAACAGGAAGGCCUGUGUUGGGCCUCCAUUUGCGUAAACCUACAGACGCCAUCAACUCCUCCAACAGCCAAGGCCGUUUCUGACCACAAGGGGGCGCCCGCAUCAUGCUUUAAUAUAGUACGUGCUUGGGAUGUUGAGAGCGUGGAAGACUGCAGUCUCAAAAUACAGAUAGGGAAACUGAGGCCAGGAGAAAGCAAAGGGUUCCUAAGUCAUUCUGGACACAUGGCACAUAUGUGUGUACAUGCAUCUGGAAGCCAGGACUCAAUGGGCUCCUUCAUUGCUCUCGUCUGAGUAUUUUUAAAACAAACUCUGUCACGGAACCAGUGUAAAACUGCCUUGUCCACAAGCCCCUGGAAUCCACGCGUCUCUGCUUCUCCAGCCCUAGAAUCACAGGAGAACACCACUGCAGCCAGCUGGUUAGAGGUAUAGACUGUUGCUAUCUAGAAUCAGAAGCUGUGGCAUACUGCAACUGUUUCCAUAGUUCCUGGAGGCUACUUUGUAUCCAUCUUGUUCAUCAAACCCUCAGCUCCUGCUUCACCGUAAGGAGCAAAGGAGAGAAUGGCUGAAAUCCUUUGAACUCUUCAAGAUCCUGUUCUCAAUGUCUACAAGGGUUCUACCAAGCCUCGCCUCUUAAAGCUUCCACCAGAAGCUGAAGGCCAAGCCUUUGACACCGGGGCCUUUGGAGAAUGCUUCUCUAAGCCAAAGCAGCAACUUACU